CCCUUUGUACACACCGCCCGUCGCUGCCCGGGACUGAGCCGUUUCGAGAAAAGCGGGGACUGCUGUUUCUUGACCUUUCGGGGUUGUGAUUCUUGGUGGAAACCGCGUUAAUCGCAGUGGCUUGAACCGGGCAAAAGUCGUAACAAGGUUUCCGUAGGUGAACCUGCGGAAGGAUCA
rnacentral:rRNA from 1 species